UUUUUCCCUUCACGUAUGGAACAUAACGAUUGCAAAAGAUAUAUAUUUUAUUACUAACAAAAUGUGAACUAUAUAAACUCUCGUUUUACAUGUGCUCGAAGCAACUGUUAAUCUAUAUAUCGUCCCGCGAGUGUCCCACGCGUGAUUCUUGCGUAAUCAUACAACUAAGGGCAGGGGCCCUACACUUUCCCCCUGGAAAGAAAUGUCAAACACGACAUUGAUUCGAUGAAUCAUGAAAUCUCCAACAAUUACAAAUCUCACAAACUUAUCCAACACGAGAUGCUGCAGUCAUUUCGGGCAAGAGUCAGUUCGUUUCUUAUUACUCGUUCCACUAUCGUAUGUUUUCAAAAACAUCGUUUCAAAUUUCAAAACUAACAUGCACUUAAAGUUUCUUUCGAAGAUCACGAUCUUCAGUUCAAUACAACGUUAACGUACUUAUCUAAUUAAAGAACAUUGUUCCACAGUACGGACAAUGAGGUCCGAGGUAUGCGAAGGGAUUAUAAGGUAGGGGGGUUGGCUGCCACAUAUAAGGAAUGGAAUUCAUUGGUGGGAAAGGCAUCACUCCUGGUUGACUAGGCUCUACAAAACCGAAAAUAGUGUUCAUACUACCAGGGUAUGAAAUGCCUGUGACUGGGUUACCUGGUGUCCAAUAAUUUAGUCUUGGUGGUGGGUUUCUGUUUCUGCUAGGUCUGGUAUUUUCCAUAGGUGGUGGUGGAAUAGACGCAUUUUCCGUUGCUGGCGGUGGAAUGGUUGGUUGUUGUUCAUCAAGGGCCAAUACAUCUGGGUUCCCGACCGCUGGUAACUCUGAG